rnacentral:rRNA from 1 species
UACGAAGGGGGCUAGCGUUGCUCGGAAUUACUGGGCGUAAAGGGCGCGUAGGCGGAUAGUUUAGUCAGAGGUGAAAGCCCAGGGCUCAACCUUGGAAUUGCCUUUGAUACUGGCUAUCUUGAGUUCGGGAGAGGUGAGUGGAAUGCCGAGUGUAGAGGUGAAAUUCGUAGAUAUUCGCAAGAACACCAGUGGCGAAGGCGGCUCACUGGCCCGAUACUGACGCUGAGGUGCGAAAGCGUGGGGAGCAAACAGG